CUACGGGAGGCAGCAGUAGGGAAUCUUGGACAAUGGGCGCAAGCCUGAUCCAGCCAUGCCGCGUGGAUGAUGAAGGCCCUAGGGUUGUAAAAUCCUUUCGUUGGGGACGAUAAUGACGGUACCCAAAGAAGAAGCUCCGGCUAACUUCGUGCCAGCAGCCGCGGUAAUACGAAGGGGGCUAGCGUUGUUCGGAUUUACUGGGCGUAAAGCGCGUGUAGGCGGGUCGUUAAGUUGGGGGUGAAAUCCCGAGGCUCAACCUCGGAACUGCCUUCAAAACUGGCGACCUGGACCCAAGUAGAGGCAAGUGGAAUUGCGAGUGUAGAGGUGAAAUUCGUAGAUAUUCGCAGGAACACCAGUGGCGAAGGCGACUUGCUGGACUUGUGGUGACGCUGAGACGCGAAAGCGUGGGGAGCAAACAGGAUUAGAAACCCGUGUAGUCC
rnacentral:rRNA from 1 species